rnacentral:lncRNA from 1 species
AUCACAGGAUUUCAAAAGCUGUUGAAUUCAAAACCAUACACAUAAGGAUUUAAAAUCAUAAGAUAUUUUCUCACAGUGUGAUGCUGAAGAAUUUACCUUUUGGAAUUCAAGGAAGAUGCAAGAAUCUGGAGUCAUUGAAGAUCUUGCUUAGAUAUGCAUCAAAAGGCCUGUAUAUCUGAAGCACAGAAUGCUUCGUCCUGUUGUUCGUACUGUAUUCUCUUCAGGCUGCACUAUGGGAGUCUCAAAGUUACAUGAAUAUGAUCUACCAUCUGGCUACUCUUGGGAGUACAAUGCCCUGGUACCUGAGGCAAGAAGUGGAGCCUCUGAAUCAGAAUACUUCUCCUGUGACUCCUCUUUUUCCAAUCCCUCUUGUGCUGAAUUCUGGAAGACUCCAGAGGAUACUUCUCAGCCUGAAUCAUAUGUGGAGGUCCCAGUCUGCAGUCAGACACCAGGAGAAAAGUCCUCUGACUCAGAAUAUUUCUCCUGUGUCUCCUCACCAUGCAAGCUUAUUUUUGCUGAUGAGGACGGAAUCCAUCCUAUGCAUCAAGAUGAUUCUUAUCUUAGAUCCCCUGAGAAGCCUUUACCCCAGGAUUUGGAGCAAUGGGAGACUUCUUCCCCUUUUCCACAAGUUUCUUUUCCAUUUAAUUUGGUUAAUAGUAAUGAGUCCUUUGUGUCAUCUAUAUUUAUGAAAAAGAAAAGGGUCAUGAAAAUUUACUACAUGCAUGUCCAAAUGAAAAAAGGUGUGGCUAUCCUAUGGGAAACAGAGAAAGGAUUAGAGCCUCCCUCAAAGAAGAUAAAAAUAGAAGAAAUGACAUAUCCUGAAAAGAUUCAUAUGGCAUUCACCCUCCCUCACAUGUCUACAAAGGAGUUCCUAACUGACAGUGAGUUCAGUUGGGACAGCAAAGUCCAAGAGGAAAGGGAGGAAACUGAUAGUCCAGCAGAACCUACAGUUCUGGAGGAAUGUUCCAGGGCCAAGACGCCUGAAUGGCUAGUGGCCCUUGAUAGUGGCUUCAGGUGCAUGGGCUGCUGCCGGGUCUUCCCCAGCUUAGACAUCCUUCAGGAGCAUGUGGAGCAUGGAGUCAAGGAAGGCUUUAGCUGCCAUGCCUUCCAUCUUGCUUUGGCCUGGCUCAAGAGCAAGGGGAGCAAGAAAGGGAAAAAGAAGAGGAGGAAGAAGACGAAAAUCAAGAAGACAACAUCUGGGCACCAGAACGAAAAACAUUUUGGCAUGAAGACAUCUUCAUGCAAAUAGACCAUUUUUCAGCCCCUAAAAGAGAGGAAUUCAAGGAAGCCAGACUCUACUCAGGAGGCUUCAUCUUCUCUAAGCAUCCAUCAUACCCACCUUUCUCUACACAUAUCUACCACCACACCACCAAUAGGAACAGAUAAUACCUUUUAAUAUUAUCCACUGCUCUCUCGAAAAGAGGGGAGAAGAAGGCAUUUAACAUCAUGCAGAAAAGCAAGAUGUCCACAUGCAAUUAUAGAAAAAUGAACGUCAGUAUAUUAUCUCCACAACUAAAAAUGAGAAAAGGAGACUCACUGGAAGUGGAAAUUGCUAUGAGCUGGUUUUCAGAAGAGUUUUCUUACAGCAGCACAGACCCAGUGGUGCAAAGAUUUCAAACAAUGGUGUCCUGCACACUCCAAUGAUCUGAUAGCAGUUCUUGUGAGCCCCAUAGCAUCGAGGCUCUGAGUAUAUGUGAUCAAUUGGUUGCUGUUGAUCUCUUCUGUCUGGUGUUGGAUGUUGUGUGUUUUGUCAUCUCCGUGACCCUGGGUACUGAGAAGUGCCUGCAACCUAUAAAUGAUAUAGUAAACUUCUCAUUGUUCUGAAGAUUUUGGCAUCAGAAAUGGGAUUUAAAGAAGACCUGCAACAACUCUGAGGACAGUCAACAAACAGGAAUACUAUGAUAGAAGUUAUGCUGCUGUCCUUAUUUACACAUAAGGAAUUCAAAGCACAGAGAAGUUCUGCAGUUUGCCCAAGGCAUUUCACAAAGAUUUCUGUGUGUGAAGAUACUCUCAGGGAGCACAGACCCUCCAAACAAACACCCAUCACAGGGUGACAAGUCCAAAUGGAUGGAUGUAUAAAAUGUUUUUAAAGAACAGCUGUAGGAGAAUGUAAGAAAGAUAAAAAGGGCUCAAAAAUCUUCACCCAGGAGGUCCCUCCCUUUCAGUUACUCCUGAAGUUCUGGAAUGAUCCUCAAGACAUUUAACAAUCAAAUAACUUCUAUUUAAUGGGCAUCAGCCAGUCAGAAUGGAUUGCAGCUAUAAACAAGUGGAUGCCACUCCUAGUGCAUGCAGCCCAGAUGCAAUGCCAAAUAGGCAUCACAUGCUUCUCCCAAGGGCUGGCUAAUAACCACAUCAAUAUACAACUUCUUUUAUGAGUAACAGAUCACUCAUAACUGCUGCAUGCUAAGAACUUGAGGAUGAGAUUGGAGAAAAAACCUGUAAGAAGAGUCCAAAGUCAGAAAAACCUGAGUCAAGAGCUGAGAGAGAAACUGAAGUAUUCUAGGCCAUGAAGAGUUUGGAAAUAUUUGCCCAAAGUGAAGGCAACAAUGCAGCUGUUAAAAUAUGAAGUAGAGUGUCAGGAGUCUGCAAUUAAUGAAAAUGAGCUGAGGGUGUGGCCUUGAGCAGGCCCAGAUGAGCUUAAGAAGCUCUCUUCAGGUCUGUUGCCUGUAACACAUCUCAGUGUGGGGGUCAGCUACAUAUGGAAGGGCGGCGGGUGGAGAAGCUCUGACGUCCAUGCCACCAGAACCCAGUGCACACUGCUCUUUAUGCAGGAUGAUAUAUUUCCCUUCCAUCACUCAAAAAAAAACUAAGACAAAGUUUUAUGGACCAGCAGCAUAAACAAAAGAAAUUCCUUAUUUGGGAAUGAACAUUAAGAAACUGAGCAAAUAAGAUAUAUUGUGUGCUGGUCUCCCAAUUUGAUAGCACCAUCACUUUGCUAUAUAAGGAUGCAAGAGACUUCCAGGAGCAGUCCUGUGAACCACUGCCACCUCCUUCAUGGACCACAACCCUAGCAGCCACCACCACUCCCAUCCCAUGCUCUGGGUGCACAUGAGCCACUGCCACCACCAAGAACUCUAGGAAUGGUUACCAGCCACUUCAUCUAUGCAUCUCCUAUCAAGGGGACCACAAACAGAGAAAAUUAGACAAUAUGAGAUGGCAGAGAAAUAAACAAGAUAAAAACUUAAAAACAACUAAAUGAAGAGGAAAUAAGCAGUUUACCUGAAAAAUAAUUCAGAGUGAUGAUAAUAAAGAUAAUCAAAGAUCUUAGAAAAAUAGAGGCACAGACUGAAAAGUUACGAGAAAUGUUUAACCUAGAGCUAGCAGAUUUAAAGAACAAGAAAAGAUGAAUACCACGAUAUCCAAAAUGAAAAAUACCCUUGAAGGAAACAAAACUAGGAUAACGGAGGCAGAAGAACAAAUAAGUGAGGUGGAAGACAGAGUAGUGGAAGUCUCCAGAAAAGAAUAAAGAGAAAAGAAUGAAUAUAAUUAAGGACAGUCUGGGACAAAAAUAAAUGUACUAUCAUAGGGAUCAUAGAAGGAGAAGAGAGAAAGGGCCAGAAAAAAUAUUUAAAGGGAUUAUAGCUGAAAACUUCCCUAAUAUCGGAAAGGAAACACUCACUGAAGUUGAGGAAGUACAAAAAAAAUCCCAUACAGGAUAAACCCAAGGAGGAACAUGACAAGACACACACUAAUCAAACUGACAAAAAUUAAAUAAAAAGAAAAAA